CUUCCGCCUUGAAUCCACCUGCUUCGGGCUACGCCUUGACGUAAGACCGUACGACGCUUACGCUUGGAUCACGUGACUAUGGACGGAAGUGGCUUCUCCAUGAGGUGAUACUCCAUCCCGUGAAGGAAUGUGAACACGUUACGAAGCUGUGGUGGACGAGCAGGCUUUUCCUAAAUCCUCUGCAAGUCCAGGCCUGUCUGGGACAUGGAAUGACUCAGAAGUGACAAUGACAACAUUAUGAGUGAAUAUUUGAGGACAAUUAAACACUGCCUAUGACUGUGGGUGUCACUGAUUGUGCUAACAUAUUUACUUUCCUUUGUGAAUUUCGGGCAUCUCUCCAGAAUUCUGGUUUCGAUGACUUUGUGCGUGCUUUUUAUCAUCUGCUAAACAGGAUGAAGACACCUGUGUUACAAAUGCCUGUCUGUUUUUAGUCCCUUUAAUAAAACGGAUAUCACACUGGCA